ensembl:lncRNA
AGGUUCUCAACUUGCUGAGUUCCCUAGGCUGUGAUCUUCCUGCCUCAUCUUCCCAGAGUGCUGGGAUUACAGGUCUCUCUGUGCAGCCCAGACUGGCGUUGUACUCUCAGUGAUCGUCCUGCCUCAGCCUCCCAAGUGCUGGGAUGACAGGCGUGCAUCAUCACACCCAGCUGUGUCCAGGUUUCUGAUGGCGCAAAUCUCCAGGUGAUGUUGGCAGAAGCUCAUUUUAGAGAGACCUCUGGUCACUCCAAUUCAGGGUGGGCAACCUGUUCUGCUGCUGCCUCUCGGAUGCUGCCCACAAAGCUUUCCUGCUGCUGAAGGAGGUCAGAGGCAGAAAGGAAGGAGGGGGUUCAAGGAGACAGACCAGGCAGAGAGAAAGGGCCUGGGUAAGGCGGCCCCUGGGGUCCCCCACUGCCUUAGGUACUCCAGGGUCCCUGUGCCUGUAGUGUGUGGGCCCAUAGGGACCCCUGCUGGGGGACGUGUCAGUCUCACUGUGUCCUUCUCAUUAACCAGUAAAGUAAGCGAAUGCUUGGAAGAUGAAGCACACCUGUAUCCCCAGCCACUGGGGAGGCUGAGGCAGGAGGAUUGCAAGUUUGAGCCCAACCUGGACAACUAUCAAGGCCCUGUAUAAAAUAAGAGGAAGCCAGAGCGCAACACUGGAGAUUAACU